AGCGAACGCUGGCGGCAGGCCUAACACAUGCAAGUCGAACGAACCUUUCGUGGUUAGUGGCGGACUGGUGAGUAACACGUGGGAACGUUCCUUUAGGUUCGGAAUAACUCAGGGAAACGUGUACUAAUCCCAAAUGUGCCCUUCUGGGGAAAGAUUAAUCGCCUUUAGAGCGGCCCGCGUCUGAUUAGCCAUUUGGUUGAGGUAAUGGCUCACCAAGGCGCCGAUCAGUAAAUGGUCUGAGAGGCUGAUCAGCCACAUUGGGACUGAGACACGGCCCAAACUCCUCCGCGAGGCAGCAGUGGGGGAUGUUGCGAAAUGGGCGAAAGGAUGAAGGAGCCAUGAUGGGUGAAUGAUGAAGGUCUUAGGAAUGUAAUAUUCUUUCACCGGGCACGAUAAUGACGGUACCUAGAGAAGAAGCCCCGGCUAACUACGUG
rnacentral:rRNA from 1 species